AUUGAACGCUGGCGGCAGGCCUAACACAUGCAAGUCGAACGAGUGGCGGACGGGUGUGUAAUGUCUGGAAAACUGCCUGAUGGAGGGGGGUCAACACUGGAAACGGUAGCUAAUACCGCAUACCAUGGGAUGUGCCCAGAUGGGAUUGGCUAGGAGGGGGGGUAACGGCUCACCUAGGCGAAGAUCCAUAGCGGGUCUGAGAGGAUGACCAGCCACACUGGAACUGAGACACGGUCCAGACUCCUACGGGAGGCAGCAGUGGGGAAUAUUGCACAAUGGGCGCAAGCCUGAUGCAGCCAUGCCGCGUGUAUGAAGAAGGCCUUCGGGUUGUAAAGUACUUUCAGCGGGGAGGCGUUACCCGCAGAAGAAGCACCGGCUAACUCCGUGCCAGCAGCCGCGGUAAUUC
rnacentral:rRNA from 1 species